rnacentral:rRNA from 1 species
GACGAACGCUGGCGGCGUGCUUAACACAUGCAAGUCGAACGGAAAGGCCCUGCUUUUGUGGGGUGCUCGAGUGGCGAACGGGUGAGUAACACGUGAGUAACCUGCCCUUGACUUUGGGAUAACUUCAGGAAACUGGGGCUAAUACCGGAUAGGAGCUCCUGCUGCAUGGUGGGGGUUGGAAAGUUUCGGCGGUUGGGGAUGGACUCGCGGCUUAUCAGCUUGUUGGUGGGGUAGUGGCUUACCAAGGCUUUGACGGGUAGCCGGCCUGAGAGGGUGACCGGCCACAUUGGGACUGCGAUAGGGCGCAGAGUCCUACGGGAGGCAGCGGUGGGGAAUAUUGUACAAUGGGCGGAAGCCGGAGGCAGCAACGCCGCGUGCGGGAUGACGGCCUUCGGGUUGUAAACCGCUUUCGCCUGUGACGAAGCGGGAGUGACGGUAAUGGGUAAAGAAGCACCGGCUAACUACGUG